UAGGGAAUCUUCGGCAAUGGGGGGAACCCUGACCGAGCAACGCCGCGUGAGUGAAGAAGGUUUUCGGAUCGUAAAGCUCUGUUGUUAAGGAAGAACGAGUGUGAGAAUGGAAAGUUCAUGCUGUGACGGUACUUAACCAGAAAGGGACGGCUAACUACGUGCCAGCAGCCGCGGUAAUACGUAGGUCCCGAGUGUUGUCCGGAUUUAUUGGGCGUAAAGCGAGCGCAGGCGGUUAGAAAAGUCUGAAGUGAAAGGCAGUGGCUCAACCAUUGUAGGCUUUGGAAACUGUUUAACUUGAGUGCAGAAGGGGAGAGUGGAAUUCCAUGUGUAGCGGUGAAAUGCGUAGAUAUAUGGAGGAACACCGGUGGCGAAAGCGGCUCUCUGGUCUGUAACUGACGCUGAGGCUCGAAAGCGUGGGGAGCGAACAGG
rnacentral:rRNA from 1 species